UGCCAACUGAGCCACCCGCCACCACAUUUCAAACGCACCUUUUGCGGUGACGUAUUUCCGUUUACAUUUAACACACGUUGAUCACUUCCAGUUGCCACACGCGCUCUAUUGUUUUUGUUGGUAACUGCUAGAGCUAAACCAUGAAAAGAACUCAAAAGUUUAAACAUUUGCGGGCUACAGGUUCAGCAGCGGAGUUCUGUUGUGUGCCAUUUUGCCCAAUGACUAGUAGGUAUAAUAGAGUACUUAGUUUUUUCCAUUUUCCUUCUAAUUUGGAGUUAAGGCAACAGUGGAUAGUGGCUGUCCGCAGGGAAAACUUGAUAAUUAAAGCUCACACUCGCGUGUGUAGCCGGCAUUUCAAACUUCGGGAUAUCAAAGAGCCAGCAUCACAAAUGGGAAGACGGCGGUUAAAAUGUGGAGCUGUACCAGUAUUAUUUGAGUGGAACAAUUACUCUCUUCCAUGUCCAAAACCGAGGAGUUUGGAGAAAGUAGCCGUGGAUGUCCUUAAGGAACAUAAUUAUGCCUCAGUUCCUGAACCAGCAGUGGUGGAUUUAGUGUCGGAAAAUAAUAUUCUUAGGAAAGAAAUCCACCAAACACAGGAACAGAUUGGGAGCCUUAUGCUGAAGCAGCGUUUUGGCAUUCACCGUUUUGCUUCGUCCGACAAGGACAUUCAAUUCUUCACAAGGUUUGCAUCUUAUGACCACCUAAUGCGUUUCUGGGCAUUGAUUGAGCCGUUUCUGCCAACUAUGAUCAGUGUUCGACAAAACAUCGACACCACUCCCUCAACGCAUUCCCUACAGCCCAUUGAGGAGUUCUUCCUGUUCCUAAGCUUCCUUGCCCUUGGAUCCAAGCAACAGGACCUUGCGGAUCAGUAUGGCAUCCAUCAGUCCUCAAUCAUCCAGAUCAUCACAGCAUGGAGCAACUUUUUAUUCAUGGUACUCGGCUCAAUUAGAAUCUGGAUACCAGAGGAUCAGAUUCACAAAAAUCUACCCAGAGACUUCGAGGACUACCCUGACACUACAGUCAUCAUUGACAGCAUUUAGCUGAGGUGUCAGUGUCCAUCUUCCCCUCUCCUCCAGAGUGAGGUGUCUUCUUUUUACAAAUCCCACUGCACUCUCAAGGGGCUCAUUGGGAUUGCACCUCACGGGCCAGUGACAUUCAUCUCCAGACUGCACACAGGGUCCAUCAGUGACAAGCAGAUCACGUGUGAAUCUGGUCUCCUGGCCCUCUUAAAACCAGGGAUGGCUGUCAUGGUAGACGGAGGCUUUCCUAUUGACGACAUCGUACCCUGCAAGGUUUACAGGCCAGAAUUUCUCUCUGGCGGGUCUCAGAUGCCUGCGGGGGAAGUGAGGAAGACGGAGGUCAUAGCACGUCUUAGGGUGCACGUGGAGUGCCUUGUUCGCCGGGUCAAAGAGCACAAAUUGUUUGACUCUGAAAUUCCCCUUGGCGUUUUUGGGAUUAUCAACCAACUGUACACUGUUGCUUGCCUACUCACAAAUUAUGAAAAUGCCCUCUAGCUACUGCUUGGCCAAAGAAGCCUGACAAAGUAUGUUGCAUCUUUACUGUUCAUUUUGUAAUACUGUUUGCUACUGCCAUAAAAUUAAAUUACUUUUUCAUAAUA